rnacentral:miRNA from 1 species
AAUGGGUAUAUGUCUAGUGC